rnacentral:sRNA from 1 species
CAAAGAUUAAAGAGGCAAUAGAACAAA